rnacentral:tRNA from 1 species
GGCGGUGUAGCUCAGGGGAAGAGCAGGCGGCUCAUACCCGCUAUGUCCGGGGUUCAAAUCCCUGCACCGCCAC